CAAGUACUCCCUCCGUCCUAAAUUUUUUUGUCUUAAAUUUGUCUAUAUAUGUAUGUAUCUUGUCAUGUUUUGGUAUUUACAUACAUUCAUUUCUAGACAAAUCUAAGACAAGAAUUUUGGAACAAAGGGAGUAUGUU
rnacentral:pre_miRNA from 1 species